rnacentral:rRNA from 1 species
UGUAGCAAUACAGUUGCCGGCGACCGGCGGAUGGGUGCGUAACGCGUAUGCAACCUACCUUAGUACACGGGGAAUAACCUUUCGAAAGGGAGACUAACACCCAUGGUAUUGAUUUAAGGCAUCUUAGAUUAAUUAAAUAUUUAUAGGUAUAAGAUGGGCAUGCGUAUGAUUAGCUAGUUGGUAAGGUAACGGCUUACCAAGGCGACGAUCAUUAGGGGUUCUGAGAGGAAGGUCCCCCACACUGGUACUGAGACACGGACCAGACUCCUACGGGAGGCAGCAGUGAGGAAUAUUGGUCAAUGGGCGCAAGCCUGAACCAGCCAUGCCGCGUGCGAAGGAAGACGGCCUUAUGGGUUGUAAACUGCUUUUACAUAAGACUAACCGUAUAUUUGCGAAUAUACCUGAAUGUAUUAUGAGAAUAAGGAUCGGCUAACUCCGUGCCAGCCGCGGC